UCGGGGCCGUGGGGAGCGGGAGCCCCGGGAGAUGGGGCACUGAGACAAGGGGCCCCAGGUCCUACGGGGGCGCAGCAGUCGCGAAAACUCCGCAAUACGCGAAGGGCGUGACGGGGGCUAUCCCGAGUGCCGUCCGCUGAGGAUGGCUUUUCCCCAGUGUAGAUAGCUGGGGGGAAUAAGGAGAGGGCAAGUCUGGUGUCAGCCGCCGCGGUAAUACCAGCUCUCCGAGUGGUGGGGACGUUUAUUGGGCCUGAAGCAUCCGUAGCCAGCUGAGCAAGUCCCCAGUUAAAUCCAGCGAUUUAAUCGUUGGACUGCUGGGGAUACUGUCCGGCUUGGGGGUGGGAGAGGCCGACGGUAUUCCCGGGGUAGGGGUGAAAUCCUAUAAUCCCGGGAGGACCACCAGUGGCGAAGGCUGUUGGCUAAAACAUGCCCGACGGUGAGGGAUGAAAGCUGGGGGAGCGAACCGGAUUAGAUACCCGGGUAGUCCCAGCUGUAAACGAUGCAGCCUAGGUGUUAGGGCGGCCACGUGCCGCUCUAGUGCCGCAGGGAAGCUGUUAAGCCUGCCGCCUGGGGAGUACGCCCGCAAGGCUGAAACUUAAAGGAAUUGGCGGGGGAGCAC
rnacentral:rRNA from 1 species